GCCGCCGCGGUAAUACCAGCACCCCGAGUGGUCGGGACGAUUAUUGGGCCUAAAGCAUCCGUAGCCGGUACUGCAAGUCUUCCGUUAAAUCCACCUGCUCAACAGUUGGGCUGCGGGGGAUACUACAGCGCUAGGAGGCGGGAGAGGCAAGCGGUACUUAAUGGGUAGGGGUAAAAUCCACUGAUCCAUUGAAGACCACCAGUGGCGAAGGCGGCUUGCCAGAACGCGCUCGACGGUGAGGGAUGAAAGCUGGGGGAGCAAACCGG
rnacentral:rRNA from 1 species